rnacentral:lncRNA from 1 species
GGAAUGAGACAACACAACUUCUCCCAUAGGCCUGGUGGUCAGAGAGGCUGGGUCAAGAAUCUCCAUAGCCCAGCGAGAAGCCACGCGAACACACCCCUGUGUGGGUAUCCGUGACCUGGCAGCCGGCAGAACUCCUGGGCCAGAGACGUCCUCAUCCUGUUGGAAUAUCCAGGUAUCUCCACUCCGAAUAUCCUCAUCUUCCUGGAACCCCUCUUUUUCUCCUAACAUUCUCCUAAAUGAAAUUCCAUAUCUGCUACAACACAGAAAGAGAGGCGGAACAAGAAAAACUGGUGAUCCACUAAUAAGAAGGCCCUGGAGCCGCUCGAUGUUUAAUCUUCUCAAGGGAUGAGAAUGUGUCUCGUAACUUCUCAGCAUCUGAAACGCAGCCUUCGCUAAUGGGUCAGUUUCACUGGACGUACUCCCAGGAUCAUAGAUGGCAGCCGGGGAAGGCAGUGAGGGUGGAAAUGUCUCACUAGGCUGAAUUGAAGUGAGGCCUACCCAUUGCCUCCUUUGCAUGUGUUUAAGUAUUAGAAGAACACCUGCCAAUUCAUGUCCAUUUCCCUGGAGGGAAAUGACCCAACCAUGGAGAGAACGAUGUUCACUGAUUGCAUUGGCGUGGCAAGAACUCCAUGGCAUGUUGCAUCAUGAAGAAAGCUGCCACGCAAAAUGAGAUGCGAUUGACGUGGAUGUGUCUGUACUUGUGCAAAGAGAGAUUUGGGAAAGGAAGUUUACUGAAGUGUUAACAAUGGGUUACAAGUUUUGAAGUGAUUUUAAUUUCUUUUUUUUUAAGUUUCUGUUAGGCUGGGAUUUUCCCCAUAGAUAUGCAUCAUCUAUGUUUUUUGUAAUUGGAAAUAAAGUUGUUCGCAUUACUUUAAAAUAAAGACAGUACUAUCGUU